GGCCUGAUAGCUCAGUCGGUAGAGCAAGGGAUUGAAAAUCCCUGUGUCCAUGGUUCGAUUCCAUGUCAGGCCACCA
rnacentral:tRNA from 2 species